AACGUAGGACGCAAGCGUUAUCCGGAGUUACUGGGCGUAAAGCGCGGGCAGGCGGCUCGAAACGUCUGAUGUGAAAGCACCCGGCUCAACCGGGUGAGGCCAUUGGAAACGGUCGAGCUGGAGGGCAGUAGAGGUAGGCGGAAUUCCGGGUGGAGUGGUGAAAUGCGUAGAGAUCCGGAGGAACACCAGAGGCGAAGGCGGCCUACUGGGCUGUUCUUGACGCUGAGGCGCGAAAGCUAGGGAGCAAACGGG
rnacentral:rRNA from 1 species